ACCUCUUGGGGAUAAAAAGAGGGAAAAAAAAUAUAGAUGAUUAAUAACUUAAGGGCAUAUUUGGAGGAGGAAAGAAACCGUUCGUUAACCUAUAGGAAAACAAAGUUAACAAUUCUGUAUUGAACCCAGCAGGUCCAUGGGCAGUCCUCUACAGGAGCAGAUCUCUGCAGCAGUGCAGGGUGCCAGAGCUGGUCUGGGUGUGGGUGCUCUGCAUCAGAGUGGCCAAGGAAUCCCAGAAAAGCACAGGAAAGAAAACACUCAGGGUGCCUGCCACGCACCCUCCACUGCCUGCACUCUUUAUCAUCACCACUGCCUGUUUCCAUAGCAACUGCCAAAUAUUAUGGGCCCGGCUGAUCCCCACAGCCAUGGAAAUAUUAGGUUGACGGAUGUGGUCUGUCGCCAGCGCUCCCUCAACGGGUCUGCCUGUCAGCUCGCCGAUGAUGACAUUAACACGGGAAGAAAGUGAUGACAAAUGCCCGUUAUCAGGGAACGAGGCCUGUGACAAAUCGCACGGCGCCUUGCGAGCAGCCCCAUUACGCUGUAAUAAAAAAAGAUGGAUGGCUCAGCG